UCUGCCCCUCCCCUGCUCUCUCUCUCUCUGUCUCUCUCAAAAUAAAGAAAUAAGCAUUUUUUAAAACCAACUUCUUAUUCUCUUUCUGUUUCAUAGUCAUAGUAAAAUAGACAUUAUAGUAAUGCCCCUCCAAAUGGGACUCAAAAGCAGUUCCUAACUAUAAAACAAGUUUAUGGAAAAACAAAUUGUUUUGUUUUGUUUUGUUUCAGAUUUGCACAGUGAUGAUUAUUUUAGUGCUUCUUUUUUUUUUUGCAUUUUUAUUGUAAAGCACGUACAACAUUAAAUUUAGCAUUUUAAAGUGCAUAAUUCCGUGACAUUAAGUAUAUUCACAAUAUUGUGCAAUUGUCACCAUUCUCUAGUUCCAGAACUAGAACUUUUGCAUCACCCCAGAUGGAAACCCUAUGCCCAUUAAGAAGUCACACCAGUUCUCCCCUCUCCCAGCCUCUGGCAAUAACUGAAUUGCGUCCUGUCACUAUGGGUUUGCCAUUUCCGGAUAUUUCAUGUAAAUAAAGUAUAAUCUGUGGCCUUUUGUGUCUAGCUUCUUUAAGUCUGCAUGUUUUCAAGCAUGUUUUGUUAAAGUUGUAGCAUGCAUCAGCACUUUUGAUGCAUUCAUUCGGCAUGCAUGCAUUUCUUUACGCGACUGUUUAAUAUCCCGCUAUAUGAAUAUACCACAUUUUGUUUAUCCGUUCAUCAGUUGAUGGAUAUUUGGGUUGUUUCCUUCUUUUAGCAAUUGUGAAUAGUGCUGCUGUGAACAUUUGUGUACUACAGGUUUUUGAACUUGAACAUUUGAAUACAAAUGUUCCUUUUUUUCUUUCUUUUUUUUUUUUUUUUUGGAAGUAUUAAUUAUUUUCUCCAAACACUGGCUUGUUUAUUUGUUUCUUGCUGUGGGCAGGGAUGGGUGUGCCACUCUUUUUCUGAUGCCCUAAGCAAAGCUCAGCCUAUCCACUGGCUGUUCCCUGUUCUUGUGCCUCUUGAUAAUCUGUUUCCCUGUCUCCCAUCCUCUCUCUUCCCUGCACGAAUUUGCAUUUGUAUCUGGGUGAUACCCCACUCAAACAAUUUGGCAUUCCUAUUGGCAAGUGGAUUCCCUCCCUCUUAUAGAGGCGAUUUUUGUUUAAAUAAGUACAAUGAAUAUGUCUAAUUCAGAAAGGCCUUCAGCCUCAGUUCUCAGCUUCCCCUAACAAGGCCCCUUUCCAACUCAAUUCCAGGAAAGCAGGCUCCAAGAACUCAAGCCAGGAGAGGCCCUUUCCUCAGGCCUCAGCUCAUAAAGCCAAGGUGUGUCUGGGCCCCUCGACUCUGUCAGACUUGGAACUUGAGCCUUCACUUGCUGGCUGCUGUCAGAGUUCAGUUCUCCCUGCCAAGGCCUCGGAAAGCUGGGGGCUGCAGAGAAGAGCCAGGCAUCGGAUUACUGCCUACAGAAAUGCGGGGGCUGCCCCAUGUGACCCUCCCCAUGUACAGUGUCAGUGUGAGCAACCACAGGCAUCAUCAGUGUUUGGGAUCUCAUCACAAAAAGCAGUGUGAUUAUCUUGCCACCUCUCAGAGAUACAGAUGCCACUGUCCCUUUCCCCUCUGCCUCCCCACUUUUUCCCUGGGGUUUCCUCUCUCCCCUCUUCCACAUUCCCCUGCUUUCCCAGGUCUGUUUUUCUGCCGACUUCCCCCAAAGGCUCUCUAGUUCUCUCCUGCCCCUUUGAUUUCCUCCCCUCCUUUCAUCCUCCAAACUUUUUCUAUCCACUCCCUGUCUCUUUGCCUUUCUCGGUGUGUCUUUCGGAUCUGUUUCCUUUGACACUGGUCCCAGGCCCACUGCCAAGUUUCAGACCCAUUAGUGAGGUGCCUUGCUGACUGAAACGCAAAUCAAGACUGAUCCGGGUACAAUUAGCAGCUGCUCACACCUCAUCUGGAAAGCAUUAGCCAGCACUGAGGGUGGAAGGAGGGAACUAUUGAUGCCAAACAGAAUAGAUCUCCUAUUUGGGAGCAGGAAAGCAUCCUGACCCAGUAGAAGUAUAACUGGAAAUAAGCUACAGAGAGACAAAGAGGCCCUCAUGAGAAACAAAGAUGAGUGGCUUGUUAACUGACCUUGGGGAUCCUUCAGCAUCUAUGCAAGAGAUACAGACUGCUCCACCUCGACUCAGUGCAGGGUCAUGGAAGUUUGGGACGACAGGAGAACAGGAAACCACUGCUAGGCAGGUAGCAGUCGCCUAUGCAAGUGGCAAAGGCAGAGGGAGGCCCAUGUUCCCCAGGCCACGUGGCCUACCUCCUCAUUAUCCUCCCUUCUCUGAAGCCUUGGAGCUCAGCCUAAAAGAAGCAGAGCCCUGCCUGGAGAAUAAGUCUCCCAGGAAUGAUACUCAGUAUCUGAGUUAACCCCUCAGCAGAUAUCACGGAAGGGCCUGCCAUCUGUCAGGCGUGGCAUAGCCAUCUCAGAGCCACAAUCGUGGCUAAGAUGCAAUCCCCCCACUCAGAGUGCACAGUCUAGCAAAGGCGAGCUGCCAGCUUCUUCCUGCCUGCCCAAAAUUCAAGUGAGUGUGAAUGGAAACAGCAGGUCAGAGGGAGAGAUGAGCAAGAGAUGGAAUUGACAGCACUAUAGCCUGAACAGAUGUAAGGGGCAAAGGAAAAGGCCGCGUUAAGGACAUCACUAGAGUUUCAGGUCUCAGUCUCUCAGAGGGUAGUGGUGAUUCUAGCAAAAACGGAGACUGUAGAGGGGAAAAGCAGUUGAGAGUGAAGAGACCAGGGUCAGUUUGAAACCUACUGGCUAAGUCUAGUGAGACAUCUCUCUAAAAUGACACUAGGGAGGCCUUUCUUUCUUCAUUUUGGAAGAAAAAAAAUGGCUGCCUAGAAGGUUCAUACACCAGCACCAAAAAGGAGAGGAGAUGAACAUGAAAGCCCUUGUCGAAGGGACUCCAUUCUUGACUGUUCUGCCACCUAAAGACCAGUAGAAACAGUUGGUUCUCUUGGCCUGGGCAUGCCUAGAUCAGAAUUAACACACCAGUCUGUCUCAGGAUGAAAGUGUUCUAAGUGUUCUCAGGAUGAAAGAAGAGUAAUCUCACACCCCAUUAAAUGGAUCAGAUGUGUGUGCUUUCAGUGGGUAGUGGUGAAUCUACAUGUGGAAAAUUAUAUUCAGAAAUGCCUAACUCCAGCACUUAAAUUCCAUGGCACACAUGGAAGGAAUUGAGGAGAUAGCCAAAUUCACAAAUAUUCCACCCACACUGUGCAAUAUGGCGUCCUGAUGCAUUUUGGAAACUGAAUUGCAACAUGACAUGGUGGGAAAACCUCUUCACAGUUAAAUAUGGAUGCCCUGAACAAGGACUACAUUCUUUACAAGAUUUUUACAUCACUAAGGACUUGACCGAUUCCAUCAUUUUCUGAAGAGUAAUCAUGGACUAUCACCUCUGGCUAUCUAGAAUGCUUUGGCAAAUUCAUCGUUUUGAAGAGCUUAAUGUUCCAGAGAGCAAAGUGCCAAAACUUUAAGUGCCGAAACUUUAUUUCAGUGAUCUUGAGUGAAAUCUUUCCCUUUUCUUCUUCCAUGGGAACUUAAUUUCACUUAAAGAAGGCCAUUCACAAACUAGGCUAUAAUAAGAGAUGUGCUAGACUACACAUUUCUUGAGAAGUGCAUGCAAAAACUGGUGACAUCCAAAGGUCUGUAGUCUAUUUAAUGAUAUUGUUACUGAUGUUAAUUUCCUCACUUUGAUAAUGGGUUCUACUUAUGUGAGAUGAUACUGUUGGGGAAGCUUGGAGAAGGAUACCUGGGAACUAUUUUGGCAGCUUUUUGUGAGUCUAAAAUCAUUCAAAAUAAGUUUUGGGUUUUUUUUUUAAGUACCCUGUGAUGAGGGAGUCUGUUUCAGUUAUCAAGUGGAUGGAUAGAAGAAGGAAAAAAGGAAGGCAGAAGGGAAAGAAGAAGGAAGGAAAGAAAGACAGAGGGAUUCAGGACCUUUAGAGACAGCUGUAUGGGAGAGAGUGGGGAGUAUCAGAAAUGUGGAAGCUUUAAAGGCAGGCAGGCUCUGAGGUCAUACCUCCUUCCUAACUUUGUGACAGAUUUCUUAAACUGGGAACCUCCAUGUUUACCUUUGUAAUAUUAGGGAUAAAAAUACAUGCUGCAGAAGAUUGCUGUGAAGAUUAAAUUAAAAAGUAUUUCCAAUA